AAAGACUUUUUUAAUUAAAGCCUAGUGAAUAAAUUUUUUAGUUAUUUUCAAACACAAGAUUUUUUUGUCCCAUCCGUCAUGUCCAUUAGAAAAUAACAGAAUUUUAUAACGAUUGCUCAAGAAUAAAAAUGUGAGCUGUUUUUUAUGUCCCGUCCGUCAUCAACUUGUAUUUUUUUCUCCUCGUGUUUCAAAUUUUUCUAAUUGUAGGUUCAAUCAUCAAUUUGACUAAUAGUAAGUUUCUAUACAAAAAAACCAGAAAGUGUCCUGUCCGUUAUAAUGAAAUGGCUGAAGUAUAAUUAAUUAACAAAUUAAAAUUUUUCUUCUUGCAAUUAAUUUUAUCACCAAAAUCGAGAUAAGAAAAUUAAAAUCUGAUCCGAUUAAAUUGGAAUGUUUAAUUAACACCUUGGCAGUACAAGUGCUGUCAAUCAGUUAUUAAGUGUUUCCAAAACAGCCAACAUGAACCUAAAAAUACACUUGACUGUUUAUUGUAGUAGCUCAAGCAUUAAUUUGAGGUAAAUAAGUUUCCUGCAAUUUUUAAUUAGGAGACAUGGUCCAAAUAAUAAACUUUUUCAAUGAAACUCUGUGUUAGUCAUUACGAGCCCAAUAAAAUGGCUUAGAAAUCGAGAUUAGACUGCCAUAAAUCUGCCAAUUUUGAAAAACAACACUCCACACGUUAUAAAUUCGACUCUACUGUGGAUUAUUCCACACCAAAAUGAGUCCCCGACUGUUCAUUUUUUGCCUGUGCCUUUUAGCCCUAACCAGUGCCUUCACUUUGCCCCGAAAUGGUGAGUCAGACUUGACUAAAUCAGGGUGCCCCAAAAUCAUCUGCUUUGCAAACGGAAAGUGUCUAGAUAUGUGUGAUCCAGGAGUGUUCCCGUAUUUAGCCAAACACAUAAAUAUACCGACAAUGUAAUUUCGCAAAUAAACCCUAAAUUUUUAAAACAA